rnacentral:rRNA from 1 species
CGCGGCCUAUCAGCUUGUUGGUGAGGUAACGGCUCACCAAGGCAACGACGGGUAGCUGGUCUGAGAGGACGAUCAGCCACACUGGGACUGAGACACGGCCCAGACUCCUACGGGAGGCAGCAGCAGGGAAUAUUGCACAAUGGGCGAAAGCCUGAUGCAGCGACGCCGCGUGGGGGAUGAAGGCCUUCGGGUUGUAAACCCCUUUCAGGAGGGACGAAGCGAAAGUGACGGUACCUCCAGAAGAAGCCCCGGCCAACUACGUGCCAGCAGCCGCGGUAAUACGUAGGGGGCGAGCGUUGUCCGGAUUUAUUGGGCGUAAAGAGCUCGUAGGCGGCUCAACAAGUCGGCCGUGAAAGCCCGAGGCUUAACCUCGGGACGCCGGUCGAAACUGUUGUGGCUAGGGUCCGGUAGAGGAGAGUGGAAUUCCCGGUGUAGCGGUGAAAUGCGCAGAUAUCGGGAGGAGCACCAGUAGCGAAGGCGGCUCUCUGGGCCGGCACCGACGCUGAGGAGCGAAAGCUAGGGGAGCAAACAGGAUUAGAUACCCUGGUAGUCCUAGCCGUAAACGAUGGGUACUAGGUGUGGCGGAUUCAUUGACAUCUGCCGUGCCGAAGCUAACGCAUUAAGUACCCCGCCUGGGGAGUACGG